GCGCAGGUAGUCCCGUAGGGGGCGGGAGCGGUCUGUAAAACCGUUGCUCUAUAUGGGCCCCGUGAGUUCGACUCUCACUCUGCGCA
rnacentral:tRNA from 1 species